rnacentral:rRNA from 1 species
UACGUAGGGUGCAGGCGUUAAUCGGAAUUACUGGGCGUAAAGCGUGCGCAGGCGGUUUGCUAAGUCAGGCGUGAAAUCCCCGGGCUUAACCUGGGAACUGCGCUUGUUACUGGCAGGCUUGAGUGUGGCAGAGGGGGGUGGAAUUCCACGUGUAGCAGUGAAAUGCGUAGAGAUGUGGAGGAACACCGAUGGCGAAGGCAGCCCCCUGGGCUAACACUGACGCUCAUGCACGAAAGCGUGGGGAGCAAACAGG